rnacentral:rRNA from 1 species
CCCGGCACAAGCAGCGGAGCAUGUGGUUUAAUUCGUAAGCAACGCGAAGAACCUUACCAGGUCUUGACAUCCUCUGACAAUCUGAGAGAUCAGACUUUCCCUUCGGGGACAGAGAGACAGGUGGUGCAUGGUUGUCGUCAGCUCGUGUCGUGAGAUGUUGGGUUAAGUCCCGCAACGAGCGCAACCCCUGUGGUUAGUUGCCAUCAUUUAGUUGGGCACUCUAAGCAGACUGCCGUGGAUAACACGGAGGAAGUGGGACGACGUCAAAUCAUCAUGCCCCUUAUGUUCUGGGCUACACACGUGCUACAAUGGCCGGUACAGACGGAGGCGAAGCCGCGAGGCGGAGCAAAUCCGAAAAAGCCGGUCUCAGUUCGGAUUGCAGGCUGCAAUUCGCCUGCAUGAAGUCGGAAUCGCUAGUAAUCGCAGGUCAGCAUACUGCGGUCGAAUACGUUCCCGGGCCUU